GCAUACCAUUAGUUUGUCCACAAACCAAAUUUGAAACAUUUUCAUCAAGGCCUUGGAUAUGUUUAAACUAUCUGAGCAGUUUUCACUAUUAUUUGCUUUUCUAAUUCAGUAUUGAAUCUAAAGCACUUUUUAUUUUUUUUUUUAACAUUUUUUGUU